rnacentral:rRNA from 1 species
UGCUGGAGGUAUCAGAAGUGCGAAUGCUGACAUAAGUAACGAUAAAGCGGGUGAAAAGCCCGCUCGCCGGAAGACCAAGGGUUCCUGUCCAACGUUAAUCGGGGCAGGGUGAGUCGACCCCUAAGGCGAGGCCGAAAGGCGUAGUCGAUGGGAAACAGGUUAAUAUUCCUGUACUUGGUGUUACUGCGAAGGGGGGACGGAGAAGGCUAUGUUAGCCGGGCGACGGUUGUCCCGGUUUAAGCAUGUAGGCUGGUUGUCCAGGCAAAUCCGGAUAAUCAAGGCUGAGGUGUGAUGACGAGGCACUACGGUGCUGAAGUAACAAAUGCCCUGCUUCCAGGAAAAGCCUCUAAGCAUCAGGUAACAUCAAAUCGUACCCCAAACCGACACAGGUGGUCAGGUAGAGAAUACCAAGGCGCUUGAGAGAACUCGGGUGAAGGAACUAGGCAAAAUGGUGCCGUAACUUCGGGAGAAGGCACGCUGGUGUGUAGGUGAAGCCCCUGCGGGUGGAGCUGAGACCAGUCGAAGAUACCAGCUGGCUGCAACUGUUUAUUAAAAACACAGCACUGUGCAAACACGAAAGUGGACGUAUACGGUGUGACGCCUGCCCGGUGCCGGAAGGUUAAUUGAUGGGGUUAUCCGUAAGGAGAAGCUCUUGAUCGAAGCCCCGGUAAACGGCGGCCGUAACUAUAACGGUCCUAAGGUAGCGAAAUUCCUUGUCGGGUAAGUUCCGACCUGCACGAAUGGCGUAAUGAUGGCCAGGCUGUCUCCACCCGAGACUCAGUGAAAUUGAACUCGCUGUGAAGAUGCAGUGUACCCGCGGCAAGACGGAAAGACCCCGUGAACCUUUACUAUAGCUUGACACUGAACAUUGAGCCUUGAUGUGUAGGAUAGGUGGGAGGCUUUGAAGCGUGGACGCCAGUCUGCGUGGAGCCAACCUUGAAAUACCACCCUUUAAUGUUUGAUGUUCUAACGUUGGCCCCUUACCGGGGUUGCGGACAGUGUCUGGUGGGUAGUUUGACUGGGGCGGUCUCCUCCCAAAGCGUAACGGAGGAGCACGAAGGUUAGCUAAUCCUGGUCGGACAUCAGGAGGUUAGUGCAAUGGCAUAAGCUAGCUUGACUGCGAGCGUGACGGCGCGAGCAGGUGCGAAAGCAGGUCAUAGUGAUCCGGUGGUUCUGAAUGGAAGGGCCAUCGCUCAACGGAUAAAAGGUACUCCGGGGAUAACAGGCUGAUACCGCCCAAGAGUUCAUAUCGACGGCGGUGUUUGGCACCUCGAUGUCGGCUCAUCACAUCCUGGGGCUGAAGUAGGUCCCAAGGGUAUGGCUGUUCGCCAUUUAAAGUGGUACGCGAGCUGGGUUUAGAACGUCGUGAGACAGUUCGGUCCCUAUCUGCCGUGGGCGCUGGAGAAUUGAGGGGGGCUGCUCCUAGUACGAGAGGACCGGAGUGGACGCAUCACUGGUGUUCGGGUUGUCAUGCCAAUGGCACUGCCCGGUAGCUAAAUGCGGAAGAGAUAAGUGCUGAAAGCAUCUAAGCACGAAACUUGCCCCGAGAUGAGUUCUCCCUGAGACUUUAAGUCUCCUGAAGGAACGUUAAAGACGAUGACGUUGAUAGGCCGGGUGUGUAAGCGCAGCGAUGCGUUGAGCUAACCGGUACUAAUGAACCGUGAGGCUUAACCUU